rnacentral:lncRNA from 1 species
UGUUUGGGGGUGUGAUUUUGUUGCCUUUGAUGGAAUAAUCUUGGAAAAGUAAUACUUGAAUAUACCCAAAACUAAGCAAUAGGAAAAGCCUGGGUAAAAUUUUCCAGACAAAGGAAACAAGAUAAAAAAAUACAAGUCACGUGAUUGACAAUUGAAAGAAAUAGGAAGAACACUUAAAAGGAAGUACGUUCCACCUCUCCCUGUCCACUUGGCAGUUACAUAAAUGUUUGUAUGUCAAUUACAGAAACCACUGAGCCACACCUUCCAAAGCAUGGACAGAAGAUAGGGCCGGGUAUUUAGCUCAGUGGUUUUGCCGCCUACUGCGCAAGCGCAAGGACAUGAAUUCGAUCCCAGUAAAUUACUUUAUUUGAGAACAUUUGAGCUGAUGGAAGAUGACUUUAGAAUACAGAGUGUGCUGCUUCUUUUCCAUGAUUUUCUGCAAUCAAGACACAAGAAUAUACUACGUGCUUCUUCUAACUAGAGACAAAUACUUGGAAGAACUGGAGAUCAGAGACCACAGCUACCUCCUGACCAGAAAUUUCUCUGAACUUUAGGUACUUUUGAAACAGGACUUAAGAAGAAAAGAAUCAAGUUUCCCAACCUUAAGAAAUAUGGCUGUUUUUCUUUGUUCUAAUACAGACAAAAUCAGUGGCUUUGUCCCUAUAAAUAAAGUUUUAUAAUCUCCUGAUCUCAUAACAUCCUGUUUUUGCCCAACCAAAGGCACUGGAAUAUGUUAAGUGGGGAAACUGUCACAGCUUGAUAAACUACCUUUGUUCUGCCUACCCAUUCUGAAGUUACAUGCUACUAGGUAGAUCAAUUUCCUUGACAGCAUGUAUUAAACUGAAGUCCUUCCUUUGUUUGGGGCUCAACUUUGGAUAGGAGUCUGAUGAGAUGGUGUACACCUAAAUAAAAUCCUCCUGUUUCACCUGUUGGUCUCUCUGGUCUCUUGAGUUCCCACAACAUUUCCUGGCCACCAUGACAAGACUGGAGACAAUACUCUUGCUGUCUCCUUUGCCUGCAGAAACAGGGGCCCUGAUAUAGGGGAAGCUCAAGACCCCUGACAUCACUGGGAAAGACUCAAGGUUGGAGAGAAAAUUGGCCCUCCUACAGCCAAGAUUCCUCCUAUAUCAGGGCAAUGGAACCUGAGAGGCUACAGGAUGAUUCCGGAAUAGCACACUACAGGAUUGUGGUAAGGUUUUGGGGACCAGAAAAAGGAAAGACCUGUCCCAUAAGGAUGGAAG